rnacentral:lncRNA from 1 species
UUAAUGUUCUAUUGCUUACUAAAAGCAUUAUUCAUGGUAGCUGACAUGCCAGAUGUGACAUUACAAACACAUGAUGAGCCAUAUAAUAAACCCUUGAUGGCUGAAGAUGCAAUAGAAUACAUCAUUAGCUAAUAUACCAGCUUGAGAAAGAGCAAAAUGUCGCUAACAAAUAAUAAACACUUGAUGGCUGAAGAUGCAACAGAAUAAUACAUCAUUAGCUAACAUACCGGCUUGUAAAAGCUUCCAGUGUACAAGUGCAACAUCGCUUACAAAGUGAUUGAAAUGCCAAUUACAGGAUGUCAGUGAUGAUCUAUGGGCUGAGUAUACAGUAUGUCGCUUUGGAGGCCAUGUUAUUUUAAGUUAAUUCUAUGAGUGAAAUGACUAUUACAGAAUGGCGGUGGCAAGCUAUGGGCUGACUCGUAUACUUAAGUCGCUUUGGAGCCAUGUUAAACUAAGUUCUGAGAAACAUUCUGGAUUUGAACCCAUGACCUUUGGAAUGGAAGACAGACAUAUAGACCACCAACACUUCAUGCAAGGAAAUCAAAUCCAACUUGUAUGUUACCAGGAUGUUAAUUCAGUAUUCAGUUUGUAAUGGAGUAUUAAUUACUGUAAACAUGGAGGUAAUAUUGGUGAUGCAUUCACAGCUAAAUCAAUAAUUUAAUUAUCAUGUAUGCUAUUUUUGGCCAGUAAAUAUUUUAAUAUCUGAUAUCUUUGGCAACAAGCUGCUGCAUGCCCAUAUGAUGUGCCUAUAUAAUUACAUUCAUGAUGUAUUCAGUAUUCAGUAACAUUUAUUCAAAUCGAAAAAUGUGAAAGUAAACAAUUAAUAGCUAUAAAUUAUGAUUUAGGAAUCAGAUUAGAAGUCAAAAACUUGUCUCAAAAUGAUCCCUUAACGAAAGAUACCGCAUUUAGGCAUUUCACAUGUUUUUGUCAAAUGAAAUUUGAGUCUUGACAGGGCUUUAACAUUGGGCACAUAGUGUCAGCUGCAAGAUCAUUGUUAAAUUAUUGUUAUUUUAUUAAAUUGUCUUUGAUAAUGACUGCUCAUCCAGAAUCAGAUGCCAUGUUAGAUAACAUGACUAAAUUAAUUAAUUAACAGAGUCUGUACAAUUAACAUUACGUUUGAAAUGGAAGUUACAUAGGUGUAUUACACAGAAUAUUUUAAGCAUUAAUCUGUUGAAUUUAAUUACUGUCAUAUAGUAAUUUAUUGCUUUAUUGUCACACCUCAGUUUCGCAAUACAGGCAAAUUUUCCACAUGUUCUCAAAAGCAAAGCUGGUAUUUCCAAAUGCUAAAUUAAUACUUCUAAAAUGAAUUAAAAACAACACACUAUAUACAUUGUAAACUAAGUAAAAUGCAAUAGAAAUAAAGCCUUUUACCAUUCAAUUAUAGAGAGCACAGGAAAGUAACUAAUCUAUUGCAAAACUAAUCGUGAUUGGUCAAACUCAUUUAAGCAUCAUUGGUGUUAGCUCUGUGGCGGUAACUAAUCUGGGGUCUGCAGGUAGCGUUAAUAACGCCACGGAGGUGGUGUAAGUAAUGCCACUGCCUACUUUACACACAACAGCGUACGUUAGGCCAGCCUUACGCCAUGUGUGUGUGAACAUACCCUUUGUUUCACAAUUCAGUCUCUUAUAACCUUUUGGCAGAAUUAUAAUAACCCAGAAAACACAAAGGUUCAUAUGGUAGUUACAUUCUUACGAGUACCAUGAACAGGAAAU